rnacentral:rRNA from 1 species
UUAAGCGACUAAGCGUACACGGUGGAUGCCCUGGCAGUCAGAGGCGAUGAAGGACGUGCUAAUCUGCGAAAAGCGUCGGUAAGGUGAUAUGAACCGUUAUAACCGGCGAUGUCCGAAUGGGGAAACCCAGUGCAAUUYGUUGCACUAUCGUUAACUGAAUACAUAGGUUAACGAGGCGAACCGGGGGAACUGAAACAUCUAAGUACCCCGAGGAAAAGAAAUCAACCGAGAUUCCCCCAGUAGCGGCGAGCGAACGGGGAGCAGCCCAGAGUCUGAAUCAGCUUGUGUGUUAGUGGAACGGUCUGGAAAGUCCGACGGUACAGGGUGAUAGUCCCGUACACCAAAAUGCACAGGCUGUGAACUCGAAGAGUAGGGCGGGACACGUGGUAUCCUGUCUGAAUAUGGGGGGACCAUCCUCCAAGGCUAAAUACUCCUGACUGACCGAUAGUGAACCAGUACCGUGAGGGAAAGGCGAAAAGAACCCCGGCGAGGGGAGUGAAAAAGAACCUGAAACCGUGUACGUACAAGCAGUGGGAGCACCUUCGGGUGUGACUGCGUACCUUUUGUAUAAUGGGUCAGCGACUUAUAUUCUGUAGCAAGGUUAACCGUAUAGGGGAGCCGYAGGGAAACCGAGUCUUAACUGGGCGUUAAGUUGCAGGGUAUAGACCCGAAACCCGGUGAUCUAGCCAUGGGCAGGUUGAAGGUUGGGUAACACUAACUGGAGGACCGAACCGACUAAUGUUGAAAAAUUAGCGGAUGACUUGUGGCUGGGGGUGAAAGGCCAAUCAAACCGGGAGAUAGCUGGUUCUCCCCGAAAGCUAUUUAGGUAGCGCCUCGUGAACUCAUCUUCGGGGGUAGAGCACUGUUUCGGCUAGGGGGUCAUCCCGACUUACCAACCCGAUGCAAACUACGAAUACCGAAGAAUGUUAUCACGGGAGACACACGGCGGGUGCUAACGUCCGUCGUGAAGAGGGAAACAACCCAGACCGCCAGCUAAGGUCCCAAAGUCAUGGUUAAGUGGGAAACGAUGUGGGAAGGCACAGACAGCCAGGAUGUUGGCUUAGAAGCAGCCAUCAUUUAAAGAAAGCGUAAUAGCUCACUGGUCGAGUCGGCCUGCGCGGAAGAUGUAACGGGGCUAAACCAUGCACCGAAGCUGCGGCAGCGACACUAUGUGUUGUUGGGUAGGGGAGCGUUCUGUAAGCCUGCGAAGGUGWSCUGUGAGGGUUGCUGGAGGUAUCAGAAGUGCGAAUGCUGACAUAAGUAACGAUAAAGCGGGUGAAAAGCCCGCUCGCCGGAAGACCAAGGGUUCCUGUCCAACGUUAAUCGGGGCAGGGUGAGUCGACCCCUAAGGCGAGGCCGAAAGGCGUAGUCGAUGGGAAACAGGUUAAUAUUCCUGUACUUGGUGUUACUGCGAAGGGGGGACGGAGAAGGCUAUGUUAGCCGGGCGACGGUUGUCCCGGUUUAAGCAUGUAGGCUGGUURUCCAGGCAAAUCCGGAUAAUCAAGGCUGAGGUGUGAUGACGAGGCACUACGGUGCUGAAGUAACAAAUGCCCUGCUUCCAGGAAAAGCCUCUAAGCAUCAGGUAACAUCAAAUCGUACCCCAAACCGACACAGGUGGUCAGGUAGAGAAUACCAAGGCGCUUGAGAGAACUCGGGUGAAGGAACUAGGCAAAAUGGUGCCGUAACUUCGGGAGAAGGCACGCUGGUGUGUAGGUGAAGUCCCUGCGGAUGGAGCUGAGACCAGUCGAAGAUACCAGCUGGCUGCAACUGUUUAUUAAAAACACAGCACUGUGCAAACACGAAAGUGGACGUAUACGGUGUGACGCCUGCCCGGUGCCGGAAGGUUAAUUGAUGGGGUUAUCCGUAAGGAGAAGCUCUUGAUCGAAGCCCCGGUAAACGGCGGCCGUAACUAUAACGGUCCUAAGGUAGCGAAAUUCCUUGUCGGGUAAGUUCCGACCUGCACGAAUGGCGUAAUGAUGGCCAGGCUGUCUCCACCCGAGACUCAGUGAAAUUGAACUCGCUGUGAAGAUGCAGUGUACCCGCGGCAAGACGGAAAGACCCCGUGAACCUUUACUAUAGCUUGACACUGAACAUUGAGCCUUGAUGUGUAGGAUAGGUGGGAGGCUUUGAAGCGUGGACGCCAGUCUGCGUGGAGCCAACCUUGAAAUACCACCCUUUAAUGUUUGAUGUUCUAACGUUGGCCCCUGACCGGGGUUGCGGACAGUGUCUGGUGGGUAGUUUGACUGGGGCGGUCUCCUCCCAAAGCGUAACGGAGGAGCACGAAGGUUAGCUAAUCCUGGUCGGACAUCAGGAGGUUAGUGCAAUGGCAUAAGCUAGCUUGACUGCGAGCGUGACGGCGCGAGCAGGUGCGAAAGCAGGUCAUAGUGAUCCGGUGGUUCUGAAUGGAAGGGCCAUCGCUCAACGGAUAAAAGGUACUCCGGGGAUAACAGGCUGAUACCGCCCAAGAGUUCAUAUCGACGGCGGUGUUUGGCACCUCGAUGUCGGCUCAUCACAUCCUGGGGCUGAAGUAGGUCCCAAGGGUAUGGCUGUUCGCCAUUUAAAGUGGUACGCGAGCUGGGUUUAGAACGUCGUGAGACAGUUCGGUCCCUAUCUGCCGUGGGCGCUGGAGAAUUGAGGGGGGCUGCUCCUAGUACGAGAGGACCGGAGUGGACGCAUCACUGGUGUUCGGGUUGUCAUGCCAAUGGCACUGCCCGGUAGCUAAAUGCGGAAGAGAUAAGUGCUGAAAGCAUCUAAGCACGAAACUUGCCCCGAGAUGAGUUCUCCCUGAGACUUUAAGUCUCCUGAAGGAACGUUAAAGACGAUGACGUUGAUAGGCCGGGUGUGUAAGCGCAGCGAUGCGUUGAGCUAACCGGUACUAAUGAACCGUGAGGCUUAACCU